rnacentral:lncRNA from 1 species
AUGGUCUCGUCGCAUCGGCUCCUUGGAACUGAUGGUGAAGUCCAUGCUGGACCUGAGACAGCUGGACAAAGACAAACCUGUCCCCUCCAGCCUGCAGGACGCCACGGAGCAGGCGGAGGAGAGGUCCUGGAGGCGCUGGCCCUGGCUGUCCUGCCCCAGAGACGCCGCGGCGCUCCUUCCCGAGGAAAAGCAGCUUCCAGACGGGUAACUGCCCCAGCGGGACCGAGGAUCUGCCGCCUACGCUUCAACGCUCCUCACCUCUGUGUUUGUGAUGUCAGCGAGCACACUGCGAGGGAAAGCCGCCGCGGCUCCCCGGAGCUCCUCAGCCAGAGCCAGGACGGCUGCAGCCCUGACAGCGCCUGUUCGCUCGGAUACGACAGCGGCGAGUCCAUCCCGGAACGGGGGCGGAGCCUCCACGGACAACCAGACCCGUGUAGCUACGGAGAAUCCCGUCACCUCAGCAGCUCUGAGGAAGAAGAGGAUGGAGCAGUGACGAGUCUGGACGAAGCUCUGAGGAGCGUCAACGCCGACCACAGUCAGCAGGACUUCCUGAGGGAGAACUACGAGACGCUGGGAGAAAGCUGCAGCACUGGGCAGAACUGCCUCCAAAGGGUCAGUAUCUCUUCUCGCUUCCUGUCCAGAGGGCGCCAUGACAGGGAGCGGGACGGCCCGGCUAAAGUCAGAGCCGACAGGAAGUCCUCUGGAUCCCACCUCUGGAGAAGGUCCAGUCCUGCGUGUGAAGAGCUGCUGACCUCUGACCCCACUUUCCAGAGGUCCCAUUCUGCUCAGGACUUGGCGUCAAACCCUCUGGGCUCCCCUGCGCCCCCUGGUGCCCACAGGGAGUCCCGCAUGAGACCUCAGCAGCUGUCGCUGUCUGAAGACAACCUGAAGCCCUCCUUCCCCGUUUCCUCCCCCUCUUCUGGGUCUUCUGGCUCGCCACGGUCCCCGCAGCCCUGGGAGAGCCCCAAAUCCAGGAUCCAGCACUCCUACAUGAACCCCACCAUCAGCUCUCUGGCCAAAAGCAGCAGGUCGCUGUCUCUGGACGAUGACCUUCGGUCUGACACGCCGCCGCGCUCCCCGUGCACCAGUGAGAGCACAAGGAGGUUCUCCGGUGGCGAUGUGGAGACGGCGCCACCACUGUUCUCCUCUUCUCCUCGGACCGCCCUCCCUCCCUCAGUUUCAUCGAUGCCGUCUCUCCUGCUGAGUCCUCCGUCAAGCAGCCCCCCUCAGAGUCGACCCGCAGCCUCACCUCUCCGUCCCAACGCUCCGCCUUCUCGCAUCCCGCUUCUGAGGCAGCCGCUCAGCCCCGGACGCCUCCACAAGAUGAGGCCGAGCUCCAGCUGGUGCGGCGCCGUGGGCGGAGCUUCCAGCCCUGCGGCAGAUGCGGGCUACUGGGUUCCGCCCUCACCUGAAAAACUCAAAGUGUGUUUCAGACACAGUUUGGAUCCCGGUUCUCCAAGUUCUCUGCCUGUAAGGCAGAAACGGAGGUCCCUGUCCGCGAGCUGGAGGGAGGGAGACGAAAAACAGCGCCCUCUGGUGGCUGAUGAUGACCACAGCAGAAGCCCCGAAACGGGUCAGUUCUCUCAGAGCGCGACCUUUGCGACCUUCUGUUUCUCCCCUCCUGGGGGCUGUGGAUCCUUAAAUUUAAUAUAAUAUGUCUGAAGAGCUGCUAUAUUUUUCUCUAAGCUAAAAUAAAAUGUAUUUAUUCACCGUCAUUUAUACCCUUUAUUUAGAUCAGAAUCAACAAAACACAAGAUUGAGAAAUAAAUGUCACUCUGUUGUUUUUCUGUUGACUUACUGAAAAUGUUCUCCAGUUUUUCCAACCUCUAAAGUUCCAGUAGAUCCAGAACAGGAAGUCGGGUUCCUGUUCGGUUUUUCAGAAUAUUCUCAAACUCAUAUUCAUUGUAUUUUUAUUCAAAUUAUGUACUAUAUGUUAAAAAUAAUUAUUGUCUGAACUUUUUUCGCUAAACUGAACGUCUCUUUUUUUUAAAAACAUGUUUUACUUUGAAAAUGAAAACCUUCAUUGACACUUUAUUUUGUAGUUUUUUUAUACUUCCUGUGACAGUAGCGCAUUCAUUUAGUUUAUGUACUUAAAAAUCUUACAUUAUUUUGCAUUUCAGAGUGAUAAUUACAUUGCCUGAAACGUAUUUUAUUUUUUGCUACUGAAUGCGUGGAUCCGUGAUUUCAUCACAAAUAUUUCUACCUGAUUCCAGAUAUCCGAGUAUUCGGAUAGGUGUUGCAGCUCUAAUCACAAACCUCACCAAUUCCUUGUCUUUUUUUCCUUAUUUUUUGUUUAUUUCAAAGUGUUCUGUCUACCAGUAUUAACAUCUUUGUGUGUUUUUGUGUGUCGCUGCCACACUUUGGACGUAAAUCCUUGCAUAGGAGGGUUUGACCUCACUUCUGUAAAGUGAGAUCUGCUUUGUUCCUGUUUGAAGGUGAAAGCUGGGAAAGGCUCCGCCCCCUUCCGGGGUCAUUGUCCAGCAGGCGUUUGAGCUAAACGCGUUCCCUCCAUCUCUCUGCAGGUUUUAUGGUCUCCGUGGAAACCUGCAGGCGAGCUGCCGCAGAUCUCCAAAGCAGUCUGCAGAAAACCGUGGCGCUUCUCACAACGGUCAGUUCAUGUUUGUUCAAUUUAUCUUGAAAGUCAAAAAUAAAAAAACAAAUCAACUUUUGGAAGCAAACACUCCCUCUCACCUAACCCUAACCCCUCAAGCAUCAUCGGGAGGCUAAUUUGCUGUAAUUAACGGAUCGUUGAUCUUGAAUUGCGUUUGUGUGGCGAGCUCGUCAACGUGACGAACCCCUGUUCUCUCACAAACUUUUUUUACGGGAAUAUUGUGAAAAUUGAUUACACGAAUCCUCGGCUCAAGCUGAACGAAACAAUAUGAAAAAAGUCAAAUGGUUGCUAUGGAGACAAACCCAACAGAAACCUGCCCUUUUAAAAAAAAAGUGUAUUUUUGUUGCAUGUUUGUUUAUAAUAAUUUUUUUUAAAGAAAUUUUCACUGUAGAGGAAAAAGAAGGUUUACCUGUUUCAUGUGAGAAUAUAAAUGGACCCUGUGAGUGAACCGACACUUUCCUUUUCAAACCUGCUUCACACAGGAAGUCAAAGCGCUGCUUAAAAAUGCUUUGAACAGCAAGCAAACCUCUAAAACUGAUGACUUCUGUUCAAACCUUGACUCACAGAUGGUUGCAAAGCUUCUGACGCUAACCUUCAUCCCCCCCCCCUUUAAUGGACGCCUCCUCCACUCCUAAUGAUCGGGAGAAACCAUCUGUGUGUCUGUCCACAGUUACCGCGGAGAAACCAGCAUCCCAGUGAGGAGCAGCAGGAGAUGAGAGCCGUCCUGACUGAAGCUCUGCUCGCCGUGAAAGUCCAGCUGGAAAUAACCCCCCCCAUAUGAGGGAACAGAGGGGGGCAAAGGUGAAGGAGAGCGGGCGUCCAACCGCUCCGCCUUCUCAGGAACUUCAUUAAACACAAAAGAUGUGACUUUUAGUUUUAUGCACUUUAACCUUUGACAGAGUCGCCUUUUAAAUCUUUCUCCUCAAUUAACGGACAAACACACAGUUGUGACCUGAAUAAAGUUUAAUUUCAGUAAAAAGUUGGAAAUAUUUUACAGCAGGAAAUGAUGUCAGAACAGAUCUGUGCUCUGAUGAUGUCAGCCUUCAAAAUAAUGUCACUUCCUGUAAACUGGGAUGAAAAUCAGUGAAAUUAAUAUUCAUUAAUGUAAUUUAUUUGUUGUUGUUUUUUUUAGAAUACCUCCUUUUUUUAAACAUUUUGUAGAUUUUUAAACUUUUCUAAAAGUUUUUUUUCUGUGUUUUGAAACUGCUUCCCCGUUCUGCUGAAUAAUAAACUAAAUAAAACGAACAUUCAGGAUCAGAAAAGUUAAUUCAGGCUAAAACACAUCUGUUAGCGGCGGUUUAAUCCAAGCAUCUCCAGAAGCUAAAAUGUUGCAGAGGAAGCG